GUUGGGGACAGCAACAGAGAGAGAAAUUCAACAUAUAAUGACCGGACGGAACGGGGAACUUCAGUGUUUUGUUAUGCCGUGGAAUGAUCAAUAAAGUUUUUCUUGUUGAUGGGUUGCUCACUUUCGAGGUGAGACAGCUGUGAUAAAGAGACAUGAGCUGUGUGAUUGGUGAGAGGAAAGUUCACACAAGGACCUCCCAAUUUACACCGAAAGACGAGAACAUCCAUCACCCAUCCUCUCAGUUCUUCAUUACGCUUCAUUAGAGCAGGCGUGGACUGAAUAUUUCACACGCGUGUUCUUAAAUCACAUCACAACACUCACAUUGCAAACAAAUGGAUCUGUCCAAAUAAAUCAGGCCUGUGAUCAUCUUCACCACCUUUAGUGUAAACGUCAGCAUUUUGGCUUGAACUAGAAAUGUAAAAAAUUCGGAACCUGUGGGUCUGGAGUGUCGCUCGGGCACAGAUCUCCACACACUGUACUUACAGUACAGUCCUUCAUUACUGAGACGCCGCACUACACACACUGGACUCCAUCACGCUUACAGCACCCCUGCAAACACCUGCUGCACUCUGUGUGUGUGUGUGUGUGUGUGUGUGUGUGUGUGUGUGUGUGUGUGUGUGUGUGUGUGUGUGUGUGUGUCGCAGUACCAGUCUCGGCUGUGCUCUUGCGGUUCAGCACUUUCAGGAUGUCUUUGGUGAUCUUCUUGAUGGCGUGCCGAGCCUCGUCUCGCUGCUUGCCCACUCCAUACAGAACCACAAGGCGCUGCAUACUGGAUGUGGCGCGGCUGCUCGUACACUUGCGGGAAAGUCGGGUCCAAACCCUUCUCCUUGGCCGUGCCCUUCCCGUCCUGCUCCGGGGCAGCUUUUUCUGGAGAGGGGCUUCCCUUCGCCUCACAGUGCAUUGGGGGAGAUAACAUCUGCUCAAAGACAAGCCAGAACGCUCAGUUUAGGCGCUACAGCGGGUCAAAACCUGGAUGUAUUUCAACUUCUAAAUCUGGGAUUUUUAAUUAGCGAUGUCGGAUCCAAGUCAAAUUCUUCAUGAACUACGUCAUAUUAACUCGCGUAAAAUCUAAUAAACAGCAUUUUUUU
ensembl:lncRNA